rnacentral:rRNA from 1 species
GAUGAACGCUAGCGGCAGGCUUAAUACAUGCAAGUCGAGGGACAGCACAGGUAGCAAUACUGGGUGGUAACCGGCAAACGGGUGCGGAACACGUACACAACCUUCCUUUAAGUGGGGGAUAGCCCAGAGAAAUUUGGAUUAAUACCCCGUAAUAUAGUUGAAUGGCAUCAUUUGAUUAUUAUAGCUACGGCGCUUAAUGAUGGGUGUGCGGCUGAUUAGAUAGUUGGCGGGGUAACGGCCCACCAAGUCUACGAUCAGUAGCUGAUGUGAGAGAAUGAUCAGCCACACGGGCACUGAGACACGGGCCCGACGCCUACGGGAGGCAGCAGUAAGGAAUAUUGGUCAAUGGACGCAAGUCUGAACCAGCCAUGCCGCGUGAAGGAUUAAGGUCCUCUGGAUUGUAAACUUCUUUUAUUUGGGACGAAAAAGGGCCUUUCUAGGUCAACUGACGGUACCAGAUGAAUAAGCACCGGCUAACUCCGUGCCAGCCGCCGCGGUAAUAC